AUCCCACAAUGCAUCACAAUCCCUCCUCUCUGCCCUGGAGAUAAUUGGGAAGUAAUCCAAUUAUCUCCAAAGACAGAGGCAAAACUCCAUUAACCACAUGGCAGAAAACAAACAGUAAAAGACAUAAAAUUACCUACAGUUACAUUCAGUACAUAAAACAUAUACAUUCUACAUAUCCCCAGAUAGCUCAGAUCUGAGCGCACAUUAUUACCGAAUGGCGCUCAGAUCACAUACAUACAGUUCAAUC